rnacentral:lncRNA from 1 species
AAAAAUAUAAAGAAAUUAUUAAAACAUAAUGGAGUAUUUGAUUUUAAUAUUUCACUAACACUAAUCCAUUUGUUGUCUCAACAAAAAUUGAAAAUAAGAAAUAGUGAUUCUAUAUUAUGAUGAUGCAAAUAUAUUGAAUAAAACGAUGGUAGUUGUUUGGAAGGGAUGUAUAGAUCCUAACUUCUUUUAUAGAUGGAUUGGCUGGUGUCAUAUUAUUCAACUCAUAUUACACUUGAGGGAUUUAUGUUUUAACUCGACUUAGUGUAUUGUUGUUUUUGAAAUUUGAAAACCUUCGAAAAUAAUUUAUGCCACCGAAAAUAUUACUGGGUUGAGUCGCGCACUAGGUCGCUCUCUUUAAGACGUUUCGAGGCACUGCCCAAAAUUGUGCAAGGCAGACUAUCAACCACGAAGUCCCCAGGAUAAAACAGCCCAGAUUCUCUGUAUCGGAGUUCUACUGAACUGUAGAAAACUGUUCUAGAAUUACACCAUCAAUAUGGCAGUCUUACGACUGACACUCGUAAUAUGGCACAAUGACCACUCGAAAGAGAUGAAGCAGUAUGAAGGGAGAGAAGAGAGAAAAUCCUCAGAUACGGAGAACUUGGGCAAAAUAAUAAUACACCACAAAGCCAAAGCCGAGCCGAGCCGAACCGGCUGGACGGCGUGCGCGUGGUGGUCAAUAUUGCUUGUGUUCUCCCUCCUUCACAAAAUUGGAGUGCCCCUUGGGGCCAUCCCAAGUUCAUUACCUCCACAUUAUAUACCCUACUAGUGUGUGGUAUCUCUCCAAUGUGAGACUUCUCAGUUUUUUCAAUUCACAACAACACUAAUUCUCAUAAAUGCCAUCAUUAUUUCCAAUGAACUUUUCAUUAAAUGCAUCAUCAUUUCCAACGGUGUAUAAUAUGAGGGAGAAACAUCUCAACCAUGUGUAAAAUUUAUAGUUUUGAAUUCUUCAAUCAAGAAAGCUCAUCUAUAAUAUGAGGGAAAUUUAUCUUAACUCGACCUUUUAUAUAAUUUGAGAGAAAAACAUUUGUGUCAUGUGUAUAAUGCAUGGUUUCGAUGUCUUCAUUGUAUUUUUUCAGAACCACGUGUAAAAUAUUUGGGAAAUUUAACCCAACCAUAUGUUUAAUUUACGCUGAUAUUAAGGUGUCACAGG